rnacentral:piRNA from 1 species
UAAUCACUUCCUUUGGGGCGCCACGA